rnacentral:rRNA from 1 species
GAUGAACGCUGGCGGCGCGCCUAACACAUGCAAGUCGAACGAUUAAAGCACCUUCGGGUGUGUAUAAAGUGGCGAACGGCUGAGUAACACGUGGGCAACCUGCCCCUUUCAUUGGGAUAGCCACGGGAAACCGUGGAUAAUACCGAAUACUUCGAGACUUCCGCAUGGAAGACUCGAGAAAGCUCCGGCGGAGAGGGAUGGGCCCGCGGCCUGUUAGCUUGUUGGGGGGGUAACGGCCUACCAAGGCAAUGAUGGGUAGCUGGGUUGAGAGACCGACCAGCCAGAUUGGGACUGAGACACGGCCCAGACUCCUACGGGAGGCAGCAGUGGGGAAUCUUGCACAAUGGGCGAAAGCCUGAUGCAGCGACGCCGCGUGCGGGAUGAAGGCCUUCGGGUUGUAAACCGCUUUCAGCAGGGACGAGGCGAAAGUGACGGUACCUGCAGAAGAAGCCCCGGCUAACUACGUG